UGAAUGUUGGCAAGGCCCGAGGCUUCUU
rnacentral:piRNA from 1 species